rnacentral:rRNA from 1 species
CUGUGAGACAGGUGCUGCAUGGCUGUCGUCAGCUCGUGUUGUGAAAUGUUGGGUUAAGUCCCGCAACGAGCGCAACCCUUAUCCUUUGUUGCCAGCGGUCCGGCCGGGAACUCAAAGGAGACUGCCAGUGAUAAACUGGAGGAAGGUGGGGAUGACGUCAAGUCAUCAUGGCCCUUACGACCAGGGCUACACACGUGCUACAAUGGCGCAUACAAAGAGAAGCGACCUCGCGAGAGCAAGCGGACCUCAUAAAGUGCGUCGUAGUCCGGAUUGGAGUCUGCAACUCGACUCCAUGAAGUCGGAAUCGCUAGUAAUCGUGGAUCAGAAUGCCACGGUGAAUACGUUCCCGGGCCUUGUACACACCGCCCGUCACACCAUGGGAGUGGGUUGCAAAAGAAGUAGGUAGCUUAACCUUCGGGAGGGCGCUUACCACUUUGUGAUUCAUGACUGGGGUGAAGUCGUAACAAGGUAACCGUAGGGGAACCUGCGGUUGGA